CCCGCGGCCGGGUUGCAGAGCUGGGCGCGCGCCCCGCGUCCGGGGCAGGAAGAUGGUGGCGAGCGCGCGAGUGCAGAAGCUGGUGCGGCGCUACAAGCUGGCGAUCGCCACGGCGCUGGCCAUCCUGCUGCUGCAGGGCCUGGUGGUGUGGAGCUUCAGCGGCCUGGAGGAGGACGAGGCGGGCGAGAAAGGAAGGCAGAAGAAGCCACGGCCGCUGGACCCUGGCGAGGGCUCCAAAGACACCGACAGUUCGGCAGGGCGGCGGGGCAGUGCGAGCAGAAAGCAUGGGCGCUGGCGGGGCCGUGCUGAGAGCCCAGGCGUGCCCGUGGCCAAGGUGGUACGGGCAGUAACGAGCCGGCAGAGAGCCAGCCGACGUGUCCCGCCCGCCCCACCCCCGGAGGCCCCAGGCCGGCAGAACCUGAGUGGGGCAGCAGCUGGGGAGGCGCUGGUAGGGGCAGCUGGUUUCCCGCUACAUGGAGAUACAGGAAGUGUGGAGGGCGCCCCCCAGCCCACGGACAACGGCUUCACCCCUAAGUGCGAGAUUGUGGGCAAGGAUGCGCUGUCUGCACUGGCCCGGGCCAGCACCAAGCAGUGCCAGCAGGAGAUUGCCAACGUGGUGUGCCUGCACCAGGCUGGAAGCCUCAUGCCCAAGGCUGUGCCCCGGUACUGCCAGCUGUCUGGGAAGAUGAGUCCCGGCAUCCAAUGGGACGAGAUGCGGGCCCAGCAGCCCGUGGAUGGCCCCCCAAUUCGGAUUGCCUACAUGCUGGUGGUCCACGGCCGCGCUAUCCGCCAGCUGAAACGUCUCCUCAAGGCUGUCUACCAUGAGCAGCACUUCUUUUAUAUCCAUGUGGACAAGCGUUCCAACUACCUGCACCGUGAGGUGGUGGAGCUAGCCCAGCUGUAUGACAACGUGCGAGUGACACCCUGGCGCAUGGUCACCAUCUGGGGCGGGGCCAGCCUCCUGAGGAUGUACCUGCGGAGCAUGCAGGACCUGCUAGAGGUGCCUGGUUGGGCCUGGGACUUCUUCAUCAACCUCAGUGCCACCGACUACCCAACCAGGACCAAUGAGGAGCUGGUGGCAUUCCUGUCCAAGAACCGGGACAAGAAUUUCCUCAAGUCCCAUGGCCGGGACAAUUCCAGGUUCAUCAAGAAACAGGGCCUGGACCGGCUCUUCCAUGAGUGUGACUCACACAUGUGGCGCCUGGGUGAGCGGCAGAUCCCAGCGGGCAUCGUGGUGGAUGGUGGCUCUGACUGGUUUGUGCUGACACGCAGCUUCGUAGAGUACGUGGUGUACACAGACGACCCGCUGGUGGCCCAGCUACGCCAGUUCUAUACAUACACACUGCUCCCAGCUGAGUCCUUCUUCCACACGGUGCUGGAGAACAGCCUGGCCUGUGAGACCCUCGUGGACAACAACCUGCGGGUCACCAACUGGAACCGCAAGCUGGGCUGCAAGUGCCAGUACAAGCACAUCGUGGACUGGUGCGGCUGCUCCCCAAAUGACUUCAAGCCACAGGACUUCCUACGGCUGCAGCAAGUCUCCAGACCCACUUUCUUCGCCCGCAAGUUUGAGUCAACUGUGAACCAGGAGGUACUAGAAAUCCUGGACUUCCACCUGUAUGGCAGCUACCCCCCUGGCACGCCAGCCCUCAAGGCCUACUGGGAGAACAUCUACGAUGCGGCUGAUGGCCCCAGUGGGCUCAGUGAUGUCAUGCUCACUGCUUACACUGCCUUCGCCCGCCUCAGCCUGCGCCAUGCUGCCACUGCCACGCCCCCACUGGCUACCCAGCUCUGCAGGUUUGAGCCCAGGGGCUUGCCGUCCAGCGUGCACCUGUAUUUCUAUGACGACCAUUUCCAGGGCUACCUGGUGACGCAGACGGUGCAGCCCUCAGCCCAGGGGCCAGCAGAGACGCUUGAGAUGUGGCUGAUGCCCCAGGGGUCGCUGAAGCUGUUGGGGCACAGUGACCAGGCCAGCCGGCUCCAGAGUUUGGAGCUGCCUCCUUCCCUACAGGUUGGCACCGAGUGGGACCCCAAAGAACGUCUUUUCCGGAACUUUGGGGGGUUGCUGGGGCCGCUGGAUGAGCCCGUGGCCAUGCAGCGCUGGGCCCGGGGCCCCAACCUCACAGCUACCGUGGUCUGGAUUGACCCAACUUAUGUGGUAGCCAUAUCUUACGACAUCACAGUAGAUGCAGAGACUGAAGUCACGCAAUACAAGCCUCCACUGAGCCGGCCCCUGCGGCCAGGGGCUUGGACUGUUCGACUGCUUCAGUUCUGGGAACCUCUGGGUGAGACCCGUUUCCUUGUGCUGCCCUUGACCUUCAACCGCAAACUACCUCUCAGGAAAGAUGAUGCCAGCUGGAUGCAUGCAGGGCCACCCCACAAUGAGUACACAGAGCAGAGUUUCCAGGGCCUGAGUGGGAUCCUGAACCUGCCUCAGCCAGAGCUCAUGGAGGAGGCCGCCCGGCAGCACGCGGAGCUCACUGGCCAUGCACUCGAGGCCUGGACAGAUGGGGAACUGAAGGGCUUCUGGUCUGUGGCUGGACUGUGUGCCAUGGGCCCCUCUGCCUGCCCAUCCCUGGAGCCCUGCAGACUGACCAGCUGGAGUUCUCUGUCCCCCGACCCCAAAUCGGAGCUGGGGCCUGUCAAAGCAGAUGGGCGACUCAGGUAGCAGGGCCCCAGCCAGCACCCCUGGAGGACCCGGGGAAUUGCACCUUAUGGACAACAGAGGGCUGUCCCCUCUCACAGGCAAGAACCAGAGGCCCAAGCAGCACAUCCAUUUCAGCCAUCAAGAACCCACACAGACGGCAGGGAAGGGGCAGGAACAGCAGAGACUUGGGUCCCUGGCCACUGCCCUAGGACCUGGGAGGGCCAUUUGGAAAGGUCUGUUCAUCCUCCCUGUUUCCCAAGCCCCCCUCUCCCUCCCCUUUCUUUGAUAGCCAGGGCUCUGUCAGUCCUUCACACCUUAUUUAAUGUGGGAGGAGCAAGGGCGAAGGCUUCUAGACCUCUAAAAUCACCCUAUCAGCCAGCCACACUGAUCUCAUUAGUUCAGCUCAGGGACAAAUUCCUGCCCAGGCUGCCACAUGUCAUGUUUCCUAGUUGCCAGGAGAGGGCACUCCUGACCAACAAUAACAGCGUUUGGGUGGAUUUGUUUUGUUUUCUUUUUUAGCCACGGUGCUGACCUUACAUGCAGUUAGUUCUCCCACUUAAUCCUCACAACCCUUGUAGGCAGGCACUUUUAUUAUCUUCAUUUAACAGAUCAGGACACUGAGGCUCAGAGCUGUGAAAUGAAGAGCCCAGCUAGACUCAUAGCUAGCUAUUAGAUGGUGGCAAGCAGGCUUCAGAGUGCUCAGUUGCAACAGUCUCCGCUCUCAGGAGAGCCUGGCUGGACAGGUUCAGCAGAAGCCAGGCCUGUUCCCGCCAACCUCUUCUCCAGAAGGUUGGAGAGGGACUCUCACAGCUAACAGGCAUGCAGAGAGGACUGCCAUCUACGGAACACUAGGCCAUGGCACAGCAUCAACCAGGACAAGGAGGGGCAAGAGAGGCUGAGAACCUGGAGAGCUGCUCACAGAUGUCCCUGCUCUGAAUGAAGUUAGUCCUCUGUGCCUGGGUUCCUCGGGAGGGGUGUGGCACCAGGGGGAAGGGCCAGCUCUGUGGCCCUGCUGGCUGCCCUCAAAGCCAAUGCCAUUUCUUGGCACCCUCUGCCACCGCUUCUCCAUGUGCAGAGAUCACCAUGGACAACAGCCUCCUAGCCAUAGUCGUGGCCACUGGUGAGUACUCACUGCCGUUCUGAGUCCCAGGGAUGCGGCAGAAGCACUCUUCCAUAAACUGGAAGCCCAGCCUUUUCUUCUAUAGGGUAACCUAGAGCAAUAUCCCUCCCCGAGCCACUUGGGAAGAAGAUCGUGUAUGGUUUGUGUUUGAUCCCUGAGGUCCCUUCCCUGUCAGUGCCAAGUUCUACCAUAUUCCACAGACUUUGAUAAACAGGAGAGAGUCUGGGCACAAGGGAGUUCAGGCUCUUGGGUCCUCUCCUGCCAUCUCAAUCCACUGUUUCUAAGGGAAUCUGCUCCUCCUUCCCUGAGUUUGUCCCUUUGUAAAACCUCCCUUACACACAUCACUCCUUCCCUGGGCUGAAGGUGGAGACGGGAUAAAGCUACUCUGCUCUCCCUCACAAAUCUCUGCCCCAGGGAGGUGAUGCGGUGGCAAAAAGGGAGCUGCCUGCAACUGAGUUUGCCUUGCGUGUUGAGCUGACACCAGACCAAGUGGGUCAUUCCUGCACCAACUUCUGGAGCGGAAUUCCAAUCUGGGGAAGAGCUGGACCCAUGCUUGCGGGGUCCAGGCUGCCCCCUGACUGUGCCUCUGGGGGGAGGGUAGUUUCAUCCCUGGUGUUCAUCAUGGCCAUCCUGCUGCUACUGCUGCAUCAGCGCGACCUCCAGUGCUGCCAGGUCCUCUGCUCCUGCCACUUCUUUCGGAGUCCCAACCAACACGGCUUCCCCCCUCUGUACUUGAGCACCAUGGGAUGCUCCACCGUGGUCCAGCCAGUGGAAAGCAGCGGAGAGGCCCUGGGGAUGCAGGGCCAUCCUCAGAGGAACGAGAUAUUCUGUGUAGGGCUGCUCAGCAGCCACCAGCUACCCCUGUGGCAGCCAGCUCGCCUGCCCAGCUAUGAGAGUGUUCGGAAGAAGGAUCGGCAGCAGCAAAUUCACCAGCUGAUUGCACAGCGCUUCGGGCUCUGGGCCUGCAGAGAGCCACCACCAAGCUAUGAGGAAGCCCUAGGGUCACUGCCUGCAGCACCACCCAACCUUGGCUCUGCUCACCCUUCCCAGGAAGCAGCCAUCUGCCUUGCUCAGGGAAACACCACUGUGUAGGAGGGAGCAACCACCCUUGUCAUGCCUCUUCCCAUUUCUCCAGGGGACUGGAAGGGACAGCACUGAGCUUAUGGAGGCAGCCCCCAAUCUCCCCUGCCUAAGAACUACCCCAGCUGGGCCGUGGUACCUGAGGCCCCCACACUGGAUGCCAAAGUGAACCCCCACAAAGCCCAGGUCACCUUUGCCAAGGAUCUGCAAGAGGUGAAGAAUCUAGGGUCGUGCCCUGAGAGAAUGAGGUAACAAGUUCAAGGCAGAAUUUCAGCAUUUGGAGGCUCUGUCCACAAUCCCUGAGCUCCUGGGCAGAGGAGAGUCCCUGAAAGGAAGCCAUGGGACUGCAGUCAACACCACCUACCUCCAACAGCCAGCAAUGACUGUCCCCCUCAGCAAGAUUUCCUUCCUGGGCCCUCUACUCAAAGCUAAGCCUCUAAAGAUCAUGGUUGGUAUGACAAUGAAGGUCUAUCCCCAGCCCACUCUAGGCCCUCACUGAGAUUCCUAAAGCCAGAGUCUUUGCUGCUGUUUAUGGCUGGAAAUAAAUCAAGAACCAGAAAAAAAUGUGGGCUUAGCGUGUCUAGCUCUUUGGGUGAGCAGGAAGAAGCCAUUUGUUACCUACUCUGCCUUGCCACUAGAAGGUCCUAGGGAUUUCAGGACAGAUGGGGCCUGAAUGAACCUCUGAGGAGGAUCUCCUGCCAUCCCACAAGCUCCCUCCCUACCCUGGACCUGCAGAAUCAGGCAGGGGGCUACCACGUGGCCAUCUCUGGGGCUACAGCCCGAGCUCCCUUUGCGUGUAGCUCCAAGAGAGGAAGAUGACUGUGUUGUUUUGACUCCCUCCCACCCCUCCUCCUCCCAGGGCCCAGGCACUGGACUUUUAUGGGAUCCAAGAGGGGAAGUAGUAGUGACACCCUCAAGCACAAGCUCUCCUCUUCCUUCCUCUCUGGGGGAUGGUACUGAAGCACUCCCCUCCUCCAAAGUCCUCUCUUUC